rnacentral:misc_RNA from 1 species
CCUUAAAGAACCUGCCUUUGUAGUGCUCACACAGAUUGUCUGAUGAAAAACAGCAGUAAAAACCUCUACAGGCUUGUAGCUCAGGUGGUUAGAGCGCACCCCUGAUAAGGGUGAGGUCGGUGGUUCAAGUCCACUCAGGCCUACCAAAUUUGCGAAGCAAAUUUGAAGAGGUUGCAAACGAUGGGGCUAUAGCUCAGCUGGGAGAGCGCCUGCUUUGCACGCAGGAGGUCUGCGGUUCGAUCCCGCAUAGCUCCACCAUCUUUACUGCAAACACAAGAAAACUUCAGAGUGAACCUGAAAAGGUGCACUGCGAAGUUUUGCUCUUUAAAAAUCUGGAUCAAGCUGAAAAUUGAAACGACACAUCUUUAAUGGUGUGUUCGAGUCUCUCAAAUUUUCGCGACAAGAUGGUGUUUUACGAAACAUCUUCGGGUUGUGA